CGCGCGCGUCAGAGCCAAGUGGAAUGAUUCCAGAUUGCUUCACGUAUAUGAAGCGGGGGGGAAGCGCCCGUCACCCCAACCCCCUACCCCAACCUUUUGCAGCCUGGACAAGUGGUCUGUAAUGCAGCUUGGCGCAAAAUAAAGUCUGAACAAAACUAGACUGUGAGACUAGCACGUCCUAGAGUGGAAUUGACUGAGGUUAACGCAGAGUCUGUAAAGACUCUACAGACUCGGAUCAUUUGCAAGCAAACUAAAAUUCCCUUUUUUAAAAAAGAAAAAAAAUCAUUAAUUGGGUUCCGAUCUAAAAUACUGCUCUUAAAAUGCGCUCACAUGUUGAAGACUGAGAUUGCAAGUUCUCGAGUAAACAUCUGGUGAAGACAUUCCAGGAACACAUCUGAAAGGAAGAAAGGAACUCUCAAGGUGACUUCAUCCAUGGCGGCUGUGUGGCAGCGAGCUACUUGCGCAUCUCUUCUGUUCCGUGAGGUCAUGUUGGCAGCUUGAAAUUGAUCAAGUGGGAAGCAUUUACAUCACAGAAAUUGAUACCAUGAAAGGAUUUGAGCGUUUUUUUAUGUGAAUCCAAAGAUGACAUUUACAAAAGGUGGAGAAGCAGUUCCCUACUGAGGGACGUGGAUACAAAAAGCAGAUGACACAACACAUCCCAUAGAGUUCCCAGGGAAGAAUGAACCCAGAUUCUUGACCUGCAGAGGUUAUCGCAGUCGACUUCAGGCUGGAACGGGCAUUGCUCUUGCACUGAAGAAAGUCUGUCCUGACUCCCUCAGAGUGCCUCAACAUCAACCAAGAGCCACCGUGAACCUCUGGGGCACUGAGCCUGGCCACCAGCACCCCCACCCCAGCCCAUAUGGCCUGGGCCUCUCCCUUGAUGUUUAAAGGAGAUGAUAAAAAUGCUGCAACCCAGAUAAUGAUCACCUUACUCUUCAAAAAUACUGCCCAAGUUCUUUGUUCAAGAUGCCAAGAACCUGGAUACCCUCCACUGGUAACAAAUAUGACUUUGUUUUUAGCAAGCAACUUUGCAGUGUAAUUAAGUUAAGGAUCUUGAGAUGAGAUCAUCUUGGAAUAUCUGGGUGGGCCCUAAAUCCAAUGACAAGUGUCCUCAUAGGAAGGGAAGAUACACACAGAGGAGAAGGUGGUGUGAAGAUGGAAGCCAAGACUGUUGAUACCAGUUGGAGAGCACCAAGAACUACCCGCAGCCACUGAAAGCUAGGAGAGAGGCAUAGGACUGUCUCCUUCAGACCCUCCAGAAAGACCAAACCUGCCCGUGCCUUGAUUUCAGACUUUUGGCCUCCCACAUUGUGAGAGAAUAAAAUUUUGUUUUUGAAGCCAU
rnacentral:lncRNA from 10 species